UACGUAGGGUGCGAGCGUUAAUCGGAAUUACUGGGCGUAAAGCGUGCGCAGGCGGUUUUGUAGCCAGAUGUGAAAGCCCCGGGCUUAACCUGGGAAUGGCAUUUGGGACUGCAAGGCUUGAGUGCGGCAGAGGAGACUGGAAUUCCUGGUGUAGCAGUGAAAUGCGUAGAUAUCAGGAGGAAUACCGAUGGCGAAGGCAGGUCUCUGGGCUGACACUGACGCUCAUGCACGAAAGCGUGGGGAGCAAACAGG
rnacentral:rRNA from 1 species